ACGACGCUGGCGGCGUGCCUAAUACAUGCAAGUCGAACGGUCUUUCUAUGGAAGCUUGCUUCCACUGAGAAGAUAGUGGCGAACGGGUGAGUAACACGUGGGUAACCUGCCCAUAGGAGGGGGAUAACAUCCGGAAACGGGUGCUAAUACCGCAUAGUUUUCUUGAUCGCAUGAUUGAGAAAGGAAAGACGGCCUUUGUGCUGUCGCUUAUGGAUGGACCCGCGGCGUAUUAGUUAGUUGGUGAGGUAACGGCUCACCAAGACGAUGAUACGUAGCCGACCUGAGAGGGUGAUCGGCCACAUUGGGACUGAGACACGGCCCAAACUCCUACGGGAGGCAGCAGUAGGGAAUCUUCCGCAAUGGACGAAAGUCUGACGGAGCAACGCCGCGUGAGUGAAAGAAGGUUUUCGGAUCGUAAAACUCUGUUGUCAGAGAAGAACAAGUUGGAGAGUAACUGCUCCAGCCUUGACGGUAUCUGACCAGAAAGCCACGGCUAACUACGUGCCAGCCGCCGC
rnacentral:rRNA from 1 species